ACGGCGAAAUGACGUUGAAACAUCCGUUUCCCAAAGGAUCACCAAAGUUAAGCAACGUCGAGUCUGAUCAGUACCUAGAUGGGUGAUUGCUUGGGAAUACCAAGUGCUGGAA